rnacentral:rRNA from 1 species
UACCAGCACCCCGAGUGGUCGGGACGUUUAUUGGGCCUAAAGCAUCCGUAGCCGGUUCUACAAGUCUUCCGUUAAAUCCACCUGCUUAACAGAUGGGCUGCGGAAGAUACUAUGGAGCUAGGAGGCGGGAGAGGCAAGCGGUACUCGAUGGGUAGGGGUAAAAUCCGUUGAUCCAUUGAAGACCACCAGUGGCGAAGGCGGCUUGCCAGAACGCGCUCAACGGUGAGGGAUGAAAGCUGGGGGAGCAAACCGG